GUGGGGAGGCCGCGGGCUCCGGUUUGCCGAGGACCCGACCUUCCCCGAGGGUGAUCUGGGGCCGCCGUGGCCACUCAGCAGUCUGUCGGUUGGGUUACAUUUUAACGAAAGAGCCUGUGUCACCGAAAGGGGCUGCUAAGAAUCAACUGAUUCACGCUUUUGGAGGGAGUUGCCGGAAGCCCUGACACUCACAAGCCACAUGGCGGGAACUGCGAGAACCUUAGCGGACGCGAGCCCGAAGCCGCUGGAGUGUCAGUUCCUGUGUGUACAAGCGCUUGCCAGCUCCCUCUGCAGACCUGUCUUUCUGUCACUCGUUAACUCGCCCUUUGCUAAACCAAACCUCUGAGGCCGUCGUCCGACUGCGGCUGGGCCUCCAUUUCUCUCUUCCCUCGGUGCUGUCAUUUACCCUUUUCUGAAGCAAGAGGAACAAAACACUCCCUCGACGUCUCAGGAGGCUCUCAUUUCCACCACAUUCCCGUAUCGUGGUCAGAGCCACGUCUGGCCUUCCCUGCUUUCUGGCUGUCCAUCAAUCAGGUUGUGUGGAGUCCAAAGGAAUUAAGAGGAUGUCAGAAAAGCUGCUUCCUGAAGUCUGCAGACUGGCUUUCCGUGCUCUACCAAAGGAAGACAAAUGGAAGACUUGGAUCUGGUUUACGGUGUUGCUGAGUGGUGGUAUUGCCCCUAAUACAUGCCAUGGUGCUCGAGAUCCCGAUAAAGCAGAGAAUGGCCCAACCUCCGAGGAGCUCCUGGUGUUAGCGGAUGGCGGUGCAGAAACCCGUGGAAAAGUCUGUAUCGCACCGGGCAUUCCCAGCACAUUAACUGCUUUAUUAAGUUAGCUUUUGACAAUCAAAAAAAAGAAGAAGAAGGAAGGAGAGAAGGGAGGAAGGAAAGAGGGAAGGAAGAAGGAAGAAAAAUUCAUGGUGAUUUUUAAAUGUUUAUUGUUUAUAUUCUGCAACCAAACACCAAAAUUAAAAAAUCUAAUUUAUUUGGGAGCUAAUUUGUUUCACAUAAGUGGAUUUUUUUCAUAUAAAACAUUGAACCACGCAUAAAGGAGAUACAGCAACUUCAGAAGGAGGCUUCCUCCUCAGGAGGGCUUAGUGGGUUUUAGUGCUUUUUCUUUUAAAAAAAAUCUGAAAAUAAUGUGAUAAAAUA